rnacentral:rRNA from 1 species
GACGAACCGUGCGAACGUUGUUCGGAAUCACUGGGCUUAAAGGGCGCGUAGGCGGCUAAGCAAGUCUGGGGUGAAAUCUUUCGGCUCAACCGGAAAAUUGCCUCGGAUACUGCUAAGCUAGAGUGAGGUAGGGGUCGCGGGAACUUCCGGUGGAGCGGUGAAAUGCGUUGAUAUCGGAAGGAACGCCGGUGGCGAAAGCGCGCGACUGGACCUUUUCUGACGCUGAGGCGCGAAAGCUAGGGUAGCGAACGGG